GGGAACGGGAAGCCGGGACCCAGAACUCUUGUCUUUCAGGAUAAAGUGGCCAGUGUGUACGAAGCCCCGGGCUUUUUCCUGGACCUGGAGCCCAUCCCGGGAGCCUUGGACGCUGUGCGGGAGAUGAACGACCUACCGGACACGCAGGUCUUCAUCUGCACCAGCCCCCUGCUGAAGUACCACCACUGUGUGGGUGAGAAGGUGUGGCUGCCCCGCCCCUACUCCGCACGUGGAGCUGCCUAAAUCCUGAUUUUAAAAAGAAACCACCAGAAACCCAGAAGGUGGGGUACCGCUGGGUGGAGCAGCACCUGGGGCCCCAGUUCGUAGAACGAAUUAUCCUGACAAGGGACAAGACGGUGGUCUUGGGGGACCUGCUCAUUGAUGACAAGGACACACGCGCUGUCUUUCACUGUCCUAGGCCAGGAGGAGACCCCAAGCUGGGAGCACAUCUUGUUCACCUGCUGCCACAAUCGGCACCUGGUCCUGCCCCCGACAAGGAGACGGCUGCUCUCCUGGAGUGACAACUGGAGGGAGAUCUUAGAUAGCAAGCGCGGAGCUGCGCAGCGGGAAUGAGCGGGGAUGCCGCGGGCAGCAGCUGGAGCUAAAGGAAGGGCAGGCCCACAGGGGCCACCGCAGAGCCGAGUCGGGGCGGCAUCGUGCUGGUGCCUCUGGCCCCGUGGAGUGGAGCAGGCAGAUACCGUUAAGCGCUGUGCUACCGGGCCCCAGGCCCAGCCACCCGGUACCUCCCGAGAGGCUGUCCCUGGACCCUGGCUGGCAUGGAAAUACAGUGGGAAAACCAGUCGGGACCUUUAAUAAAAGACCUUGGCUUUCU
rnacentral:lncRNA from 1 species